ACCAGAAUCAGAAGGCUCCCACCAAGGGAUGCGACUUGAAUCCCACUAAACUUUAAGUUAUGGCUGCUGCCUAGUCACUUCAGCACACGUGUACCAAGAGAACUGCAGCCAAAUACAGGAAUCAACAUACUGUCAGGAAUAAUUAUCCUGAUUGGAAAGAGGAAGAACUGCAGUUAUAUAAUGAGACCAGGAAGAACAGAUUUGGCAAUCUCAUUGAUCCACCAGGGCAUCUCUCAUGGUUCCUUCAUUCGAUUUUGUCAUUAAAUGGAUGGGGAAAGCAGACAAAGCCUGAGAAGGACAUUAUGGCCAGAGGAUCAGACCACUCAAAGAAGAUGGUCUGAGUCACCUUUCCAGAAUAAAAGGCAAAACAGAAUCCUGACAGGAGCUAUUCCCAUACGAGGAGAACCUACUAGCAGAAGUGAAAGGAUCUGAUAUUUCAAGAGGUGGACUGCUUUGUUGGGGUACCUGGAUCUCCCCUUCAGUAUUCUUACAAUGGCCAGGAGUGUCUCUGCUGACAGUCCACCAAGUCAUCUCUCCCUGGGAAUUAUCAUACUUGGCUUAUCCUUUGGUAAUCUCUUGAUGGACACCAUGACAAACAGUGUUUCUCAAAGGGUUGGAUGAAGACUCUAGGUUCAAAUUCACUCAGGGGUGCUUCCAGGUGUACUGAACUAGAACUUCCAAGGCUGGGAUAAGAAUAGCCAUUUUUAACAAAUGACUUUUAUGAUAAACUGGCAUCCAACAUUUUCAAAUGACACAGGAUAGAAAGUGCCAGAAACCAGAGAACUGGCAAAGCUGAGAUGGGAGAAGAGAGUCUACAAUGAUUGACAAGUUAAAAGAAAUUAAAACUGGCCUUUCUAAUUUGAUGAUCAUGGGACUUAUUAAUUGCACAACACUGAUAAGAAUUUGACCUUAGCGACAGGAGGCCAUGUGACACUCUCCUGGACAAUGAAACUAAAGCAGAAUUUCCUGGAGAGACAUUUUUCCUCUGAGUAGAAAGAAAACCUCACUGACGGAAGGCCCUUUUGACUUUCACCCAUUUUCACAUCUGGAAUGCUCGCAUGAUGCUUCGAAGCACACACCCAUCUUGGGAAAUGAGGACAAAAAAUUAUGGAGCAGGAAGACCUAAUAGACCUGGAUAUUUGGGGACAUUUUUGAGUAGCAGCACUGCCCUGCACCUCUUACCCUGAAACCUC
ensembl:lncRNA